CUUCUCAAAACUGUCAAGGUCUGGUGGUGCCCAUUUUAUAUCAGCCAGGGACAAAGAAACCCCUGGUUUAUCUAUCCCAGAGUGGCUUUUGAUCUGUGCUUAUGCCUGAAUCAUGCCUGGGGCACAUGG